rnacentral:rRNA from 1 species
UGCCUCUGGCUAUAGGAAAUUGUUAGUGGCAGACGGGUGAGUAAUGCGUAGGAAUCUACCUAGUAGUACGGAAUAGCCAUUAGAAAUGGUGGGUAAUACUGUAUAAUCCCCGAGGGGGAAAGAUUUAUCGCUAUUAGAUGAGCCUACGUUAGAUUAGCUAGUUGGUGAGGUAAUGGCUUACCAAGGCUAUGAUCUAUAGCUGGUCUGAGAGGACGAUCAGCCACACUGGAACUGAGAUACGGUCCAGACUCCUACGGGAGGCAGCAGUGGGGAAUAUUGGACAAUGGGCGAAAGCCUGAUCCAGCAUAUGCCGCGUGAGUGAAGAAGGCCUUCGGGUUGUAAAACUCUUUCAAUAGGGAAGAUAAUGACGGUUA